GAUGAACGCUGGCGGCGUGCCUAAUACAUGCAAGUCGAGCGAACAGACGAGGAGCUUGCUCCUUUGACGUUAGCGGCGGAUGGGUGAGUAACACGUGGAUAACCUACCUAUAAGACUGGGAUGACUUCGGGAAACCGGAGCUAAUACCGGAUAACAUGUUGAACCGCAUGGUUCAACAGUGAAAGACGGUCUUGCUGUCACUUAUAGAUGGAUCCGCGCCGCAUUAGCUAGUUGGUAAGGUAACGGCUUACCAAGGCAACGAUGCGUAGCCGACCUGAGAGGGUGAUCGGCCACACUGGAACUGAGACACGGUCCAGACUCCUACGGGAGGCAGCAGUAGGGAAUCUUCCGCAAUGGGCGAAAGCCUGACGGAGCAACGCCGCGUGAGUGAAGAAGGUCUUCGGAUCGUAAAACUCUGUUAUUAGGGAAGAACAAAUGUGUAAGUAACUAUGCACGUCUUGACGGUACCUAAUCAGAAAGCCACGGCUAACUACGUG
rnacentral:rRNA from 1 species